ACACUGGGGGUUUUCCUUUCUCGAAUAACAGCCAUCCCCUCAUCAUUACAUCACAACAUCGCUUCUUGUAGAUUAGUAUGGAAGAGCACGGCAUCAUGUUUUCUUACAGACGUUCACAUCCAAAGAUACUGUCUUUGAGUGGAUGGGGAAAUAACCCAGCCUUGUCAGUGCUCCUGAGGAGGUGUGUAACUGCCAGCCGCUAUUGCGAACUGGGUCCCCGGAAGAGAAGCUGGGGAUAGAUGGGGGCGGCGAAGAGGCUGGAGGCCAGGAGCGGUGGAGACCAUCGAGUAUUCUGUUUCCAUUACCUAUUUGACGUUUCUGUGUGUAGAGUGGUGGAAACAGACUUCUGUGGGCUUCUUCCUGCCCUAGCACAUGGGAAUGUUCUAGAACUGAUGUGCUUGCAGGAGAACUGACCUCCGGGGCCCACCCAAGUUGCUAUGGUGAGGUCACUCAUAGCCCUCAUUCUGGGUCUGUUUGCUGUCUUUCCUGAUGCGUCACCAAAGCCGUCUGUGAGCCACACCCACAAAAACAACUCGCAGAUAGAUUUUUUUUCCCCUUCUCCACGGAUGGCAUUGGUGGAUCGGGAUAUUUUUAACUAGGUCACAUAGCUAUCCAAUUGAUCACUCUUCCUCUAUUCUCAACAGAUAUUUACUGAGAAUUUCUCCUCAAUGCCCUCUCUAUUGGUGUCUGGUAUCCGGAAUAGAAAGACGAACUAAUCCCAGAGGUAUCCUUGGUCAUAGUAACAGUAAAGCCUCGUGCUUGGGAAGAGUGUUUUAAAACAUCCCUUGACCUCUGUUUGGCUCAUAGGCUAAUGCUAUCACUUGUAAAUAUUUCAGGGCAUCCAAACUUCAUCCCUUUUAUACCCGGGCCAGCCCCGACUUUUACUCUGGUUCCAUUCAAUAAUAGAAUUGCAAGCACUUUGAACACA